rnacentral:rRNA from 1 species
CAGCAGCCGCGGUAAUACGUAGGGUGCGAGCGUUAAUCGGAAUUACUGGGCGUAAAGCGUGCGCAGGCGGUUAUAUAAGACAGUUGUGAAAUUCCCGGGCUCAACCUGGGAACUGCAUCUGUGACUGUAUAGCUAGAGUACGGUAGAGGGGGAUGGAAUUCCGCGUGUAGCAGUGAAAUGCGUAGAUAUGCGGAGGAACACCGAUGGCGAAGGCAAUCCCCUGGACCUGUACUGACGCUCAUGCGCGAAAGCGUGGGGAGUAAACAGGAUUAGAGACCCCAGUAGUCCCUGUCUCUUAUAC